rnacentral:rRNA from 1 species
UACAGGGGGUGCAAGCGUUGCUCGGAAUCACUGGGCGUAAAGCGAACGCAGGCGGACAGUCAAGUCAGGGGUGAAAGCCCGAGGCUCAACCUCGGAACUGCCUUUGAAACUGACGGUCUUGAGUACGGGAGAGGUGAGUGGAAUUCCCAGUAUAGAGGUGAAAUUCGUAGAUAUUGGGAAGAACACCGGUGGCGAAGGCGGCUCACUGGCUCAUUACUGACGCUCAGGCGCGAUAGCGUGGGGAUCAAACAGG